rnacentral:rRNA from 1 species
CCUUGAAGAUCGGAGUGCUUGCACUCUGUGAAACAAGAUACAGGCUAGCGGCGGACGGGUGAGUAACACGUGGGUAACCUGCCCAAGAGAUCGGGAUAACACCUGGAAACAGAUGCUAAUACCGGAUAACAACAGAUGAUGCCUAUCAACUGUUUAAAAGAUGGUUCUGCUAUCACUCUUGGAUGGACCUGCGGUGCAUUAGCUAGUUGGUAGGGUAACGGCCUACCAAGGCGAUGAUGCAUAGCCGAGUUGAGAGACUGAUCGGCCACAUUGGGACUGAGACACGGCCCAAACUCCUACGGGAGGCAGCAGUAGGGAAUCUUCCACAAUGGACGCAAGUCUGAUGGAGCAACGCCGCGUGAGUGAAGAAGGGUUUCGGCUCGUAAAGCUCUGUUGUUGGUGAAGAAGGACAGGGGUAGUAACUGACCUUUGUUUGACGGUAAUCAAUUAGAAAGUCACGGCUAACUACGUGCCAGCAGCCGCGGUAAUACGUAGGUGGCAAGCGUUGUCCGGAUUUAUUGGGCGUAAAGCGAGUGCAGGCGGCUCGAUAAGUCUGAUGUGAAAGCCUUCGGCUCAACCGGAGAAUUGCAUCAGAAACUGUCGAGCUUGAGUACAGAAGAGGAGAGUGGAACUCCAUGUGUAGCGGUGAAAUGCGUAGAUAUAUGGAAGAACACCGGUGGCGAAGGCGGCUCUCUGGUC